GAUGAACGCUGGCGGCGUGCCUAAUACAUGCAAGUUGAGCGAACAGACGAGGAGCUUGCUCCUCUGACGUUAGCGGCGGACGGGUGAGUAACACGUGGAUAACCUACCUAUAAGACUGGGAUAACUUCGGGAAACCGGAGCUAAUACCGGAUAAUAUAUUGAACCGCAUGGUUCAAUAGUGAAAGACGGUUUUGCUGUCACUUAUAGAUGGAUCCGCGCCGCAUUAGCUAGUUGGUAAGGUAACGGCUUACCAAGGUGACGAUGCGUAGCCGACCUGAGAGGGUGAUCGGCCACACUGGAACUGAGACACGGUCCAGACUCCUACGGGAGGCAGCAGUAGGGAAUCUUCCGCAAUGGGCGAAAGCCUGACGGAGCAACGCCGCGUGAGUGAUGAAGGUCUUCGGAUCGUAAAACUCUGUUAUUAGGGAAGAACAAAUGUGUAAGUAACUAUGCACGUCUUGACGGUACCUAAUCAGAAAGCCACGGCUAACUACGUG
rnacentral:rRNA from 1 species